AAUUCAUAUUGUGGACACUUCUACAAAAUUUCUUUGAAUCGUUGUCAAGUCUCAAACAAAGUUUUAAGUUCCAUCUGAACAAAUGAAGAUAUCUCAUUCUGAAGCU